GACGAACGCUGGCGGCGUGCUUAACACAUGCAAGUCGAGCGGUAAGGCCCUUUCGGGGGUACACGAGCGGCGAACGGGUGAGUAACACGUGGGUGACCUGCCCUCAGCUCUGGGAUAAGCCUGGGAAACUGGGUCUAAUACUGGAUAUGACUCCACGGUGCAUGUCGUGGGGUGGAAAGCCUUGUGCGGCUGAGGAUGGGCCCGCGGCCUAUCAGCUUGUUGGUGGGGUGANGGCCUACCAAGGCGACGACGGGUAGCCGGCCUGAGAGGGCGACCGGCCACACUGGGACUGAGACACGGCCCAGACUCCUACGGGAGGCAGCAGUGGGGAAUAUUGGACAAUGGGCGCAAGCCUGAUCCAGCGAUGCCGCGUGUGUGAAGAAGGCCUGC
rnacentral:rRNA from 1 species